UGUUUCAGAGAUCCACCGCCUGGAGAUGAGACUCAGAACGGAACAGGAACACUACUCUUCACUCAGUAUCCCAAAGCUGAUGGAUCACCAAGUCCAACUCAAUAAGAGAGAAGCUUCUGAGGACCUUCACCAAAAGACAAAAGCACUGCUUGGAGUCCAGGGAAACACCACUA